rnacentral:lncRNA from 1 species
CAUUUCAUCUCAUCUCAUAUCAUCAUUUCAUCUCAUCCUUUCAUUUCAUCUCAUCGUUUCAUCUCCUCAUUUCAUCUCAUCUCACCUCAGCAUUUCAUUUCACCUCAUCAUUUCUUAUUUCAUCUCAUUUUAUCUCAUUUCAUCUCAUAUCUCAAUUCAAUUUCCUUUCAUUAUUUCAUCUCAUUUUAUCUCAUUUCAUCUCAUAUCUCAAUUCAAUUUCCUUUCAUUAUUUCAUCUCAUUCAUUUCAUCUCAUUUCAUUACAUCUCAUCAUUUCCUCUCAUCAUUACAUCUCAUCUCAUCUCAUCAUUUCAUCAUUUCAUCUCAUCAUUGCAUCUCAUCAUUUCAUCUCAUUUCAUCUCAUCA